rnacentral:rRNA from 1 species
GACGAACGCUGGCGGCGUGCUUAACACAUGCAAGUCGAACGGUGAAGGGACUGGUUUUGCUGGUCCUGGAUGAGUGGCGAACGGGUGAGUAACACGUGAGUAACCUGCCCCCUUCUUCUGGAUAACCGCAUGAAAGUGUGGCUAAUACGGGAUAUUCUGGGUCUGUCGCAUGGUGGGCCUGGGAAAGAUUGCGCCUUUUUUGGUGUUUUUGGUGGGGGAUGGGCUCGCGGCCUAUCAGCUUGUUGGUGGGGUGAUGGCCUACCAAGGCGGUGACGGGUAGCCGGCCUGAGAGGGUGGACGGUCACACUGGGACUGAGACACGGCCCAGACUCCUACGGGAGGCAGCAGUGGGGAAUAUUGCACAAUGGGCGCAAGCCUGAUGCAGCGACGCCGCGUGAGGGAUGGAGGCCUUCGGGUUGUGAACCUCUUUCGCCAGUGAAGCAGGCCUGCCUCUUUUUGUGGGUGGGUUGACGGUAGCUGGAGAAGAAGCGCCGGCUAACUACGUG